rnacentral:rRNA from 1 species
ACGCUGGCGGCAGGCUUAACACAUGCAAGUCGAGCGCCCCGCAAGGGGAGCGGCAGACGGGUGAGUAACGCGUGGGAAUCUACCUUUUGCUACGGAAUAACUCAGGGAAACUUGUGCUAAUACCGUAUGUGCCCUUCGGGGGAAAGAUUUAUCGGCAAAGGAUGAGCCCGCGUUGGAUUAGCUAGUUGGUGAGGUAAAGGCUCACCAAGGCGACGAUCCAUAGCUGGUCUGAGAGGAUGAUCAGCCACACUGGGACUGAGACACGGCCCAGACUCCUACGGGAGGCAGCAGUGGGGAAUAUUGGACAAUGGGCGCAAGCCUGAUCCAGCCAUGCCGCGUGAGUGAUGAAGGUCUUAGGAUUGUAAAGCUCUUUCACCGGUGAAGAUAAUGACGGUAACCGGAGAAGAAGCCCCGGCUAACUUCGUGCCAGCAGCCGCGGUAAUACGGAGGAUCCAAGCGUUAUCCGGAAUCAUUGGGUUUAAAGGGUCCGUAGGCGGUUUAAUAAGUCAGUGGUGAAAGCCCAUCGCUCAACGGUGGAACGGCCAUUGAUACUGUUAGACUUGAAUUAUUAGGAAGUAACUAGAAUAUGUAGUGUAGCGGUGAAAUGCUUAGAGAUUACAUGGAAUACCAAUUGCGAAGGCAGGUUACUACUAAUUGAUUGAGGCUGAUGGACGAAAGCGUGGGUAGCGAAC